AGUAGUUUUUUAAAUGGAAACUGGGAUGAAUGGAGUGAUGAGAUUUAUACUGUCUUAAAUUAAAAAGUUAAAUUUAUUUAUUGAGUAAAAAUACUUAAAUGUGAAUAUGGGACGAGAAGACCCUAUAGAAUUUUAUAUAAAUUUGUUUGAUUAGUUGGUUCAUAGGAAUAAAGAUAAAUUUAUAUUUUGUUGGGAGGAUAAUUAAAUUAGAGAAACUUUAUUUUUAAUUAAAUCAUUGAUAUAUGAAGGUUAAAUGAAUGGUUACUAAAUUUAAAAAGAAUUAAUUACCUUAGGGAUAACAGCGUUAUAUUUUUAGAAAGAUCAUAUUAAUAAAGAUGAUUGC
rnacentral:rRNA from 1 species